rnacentral:rRNA from 1 species
GAUCCUGGCUCAGGAUGAACGCUAGCUACAGGCUUAACACAUGCAAGUCGAGGGGCAGCAUUUUAGUUUGCUUGCAAACUGAAGAUGGCGACCGGCGCACGGGUGAGUAACACGUAUCCAACCUGCCGAUAACUCCGGGAUAGCCUUUCGAAAGAAAGAUUAAUACCGGAUAGCAUACGAAUAUCGCAUGAUAUUUUUAUUUAAAGAAUUUCGGUUUAUCGAUGGGGAGUGCGUUCCAUUAGUUUUGG